GCAUCGAUGAAGAACGCAGGCAUCUGCGUGAACUAAUGUUAAUUGCAGACACAUUGAAGCAUCGACACUUUAAACACAUAUUGCGGCCAAGGGUCCGUCCUUAGGCCACGCCCGUCUGAGGGUCGGC
rnacentral:rRNA from 1 species